rnacentral:rRNA from 1 species
AGCGAACGCUGGCGGCAGGCCUAACACAUGCAAGUCGAACGAUCCUUCGGGAUAGUGGCGGACGGGUGAGUAACACGUGGGAACGUGCCCUUUGGUUCGGAAUAACACAGGGAAACUUGAGCUAAUACCGGAUUGGCCCUUCGGGGGAAAGAUUUAUCGCCAUUGGAGCGGCCCGCGUUGGACUAGCUAGUUGGUGGUGUAAUGGCCCACCAAGGCUACGACCCAUAGCUGGUCUGAGAGGAUGAGCAGCCAGACUGGAACUGAGACACGGCCCCGCGUCGUGCGGGGGGAUGCAGUGGGAGAUCUUGCGGAAUGGGAGAAAGCCUGACGCAGCCAUGCCGAGUGAAUGAUGAAGUUCUUAGGAUUGUAAAAUUCUUUCACCGGGGACGAUAAUGACGGUACCCGGAGAAGAAGCCCCGGCUAACUUCGUGCCAGCCGCCGCCGUAAUAC